rnacentral:rRNA from 1 species
ACUCCUACGGGAGGCAGCAGUGGGGGAUAUUGCACAAUGGAGGAAACUCUGAUGCAGCGACGCCGCGUGAGGGGAGAAGGCCUUCGGGUUGUAAACCUCUGUCUUCGGGGACGAACAAAUGACGGUACCCGAGGAGGAAGCCACGGCUAACUACGUGCCAGCAGCCGCGGUAAU